rfam:Schistosoma haematobium scaffold1785_20, whole genome shotgun sequence.
AUCCAUCUAACGAGUCCCAAAUAGGACGAAACGCGCGUCCUGGAU